GAAGGGUACAGCUCAGUGGUAGAUGGGUCACAUGCUUCAGAUGCAGGAGUUCCUAGGUUCAAUCCCCAGUAUCUCCAUUAAAAACAAAAAUUCAAAAGCUAUUGUAACAUAUAAGUCUAUAGCUCCAGAUACCAUAUCCAUUACACUUUCUUUUCCAUUUCCCAACUACCGUAAUACAUAGCCAAGAAACGACCAGGGUUUUCUUAAAGAAAGUGCUUCAUCCCUGCAAAAUUCUUUUGGGCCACAUUAGUUUAUGGAAAGGUGCUUGAAUGGAGUUAGACUUCACGUGUGUGUGUGUGUACAGUUCAAAGCGGUCAGUGUUGUCUAUUAAUAAUCUGUGUGACUGCACCAUCUAGGUGAAGCGUCACCUUUCCCCUCGGGACCGGACGAAGACGCACACACCACUGUCAAAAAGGAAGGGGUGCCCGAGCCAGAAGCUGAACGGGACGGCACCCGUACUGAGACGCACGUCGCUGACGAAGGUGCUCCGGAGGAGCCAACCGAGGACGAGACAUUGACGUCUGUGCUUGCGGCAGACCAACCUGACAUGUCCGGUGAAGCGUCACCUUUCCCCUCGGGACCGGAGGAAGACGCA